CCUAAUUUUAUCACACUUGUCUUUGUCAAGUGCUCUUUCGCUUUUCAUUUUGCUUUCGUCUUUGGUUAGAGUUAUGAAGUGACCGCUCAGAUACUUUGAAGCUUCUGGCACCCUGCAGUACAAUAAUGUUGAUAUAUUCGUGCUUGUUACAUAAUUGUUAUCGGUAAAUUGCAAAUCUGAGUCUACACUAAUAAAAGAACUAGUAAAUCUUUAUAUAAAAAGAUAUUAGUCUAACGAACCUCUGAUAUCAAUCUGCUUCUAAUGUGAUGAUCUUCUGGAAUAUCACUAGCUUGUCCUGUGGCUGUGUCUGGGAUUAUGAUGAGCCACCCUGAAUUGCUAGUUGUGUCCCUUUGCCAGAAAGAACCACGCGAUAUCCAACAAAGAACUGCUCCUUCUGCAGACCAAGAAAUUCGGUACCUACUGCUACCAUGUCCAGUGUUGAGACUACAUGGAACCCAGCCAACCUUCAUUUGCUUCUAUAUAUAUAUAUAUAUUGGGCACCAUACUAGACCCACCUCACACAUGGUAGUAGCAGGUAGCAGAUUUUCUUAGUUUAAGCCUUUAAGGGAGUAGUUCUUUGUCGGAUGUUGCAUGAUUCUCUCUGGCAAAGGAACACAACUCGCAACUCAAGGCAGCUUGUCAGAAUCCUGGACAUAGCCCUGAGACAAGCUAGUGAUGUUCCAGAAGAUGAUCCUCAAAUUAGAAGUAGAUUGAUAUUUGAGGUUUAUUAGAUUAAUAUCUUUGUAAAAUUUUACUGGUUUCUUUAGUUUGGCCUCAGAUUUGCAAUUUAAUAUUUGUCACAAUUAUGUAACAAGCUCGAAAACAAUCUUUUUUCUACUGAUUUACAUCCUGCUUAGAUUUGAUAUGUUAUUCCAUCCAUCAAGUAAAUUGAACCUUCAGGUUUAACUAUUUGUAUUGAGAACAAACCUUGGCAUUUCAAUGUAUUGUUCUUUUUGCAUUAUGGCCUUAACUAUGUGUUCAAGUUCUAGUAGUGGAUUAUGAAUGGAAGAUAUGCUGAAGUGAAAAAGUUUGAUGAUGAUCCAUAUUGUAAGAUCUUCCUUAGGAAUUUAAAAGCUGGAGGUGUUGCUGUCAGUCUCCAAGUUGCAUCAAAUGUAAGUGAUCUCUUCCUGUGUUCUCUAAUUGUAAGAUCCUAAAAUACUUCAUUUCGUCUAAA